rnacentral:miRNA from 1 species
UCAAAGGGAGGUGUGGAGUAG